rnacentral:lncRNA from 1 species
AUCAUUUCAAGGAAGGAGGCACGUAAGGAACUCUAUCUAUAAGGACAAACAAGGAGAUAAGGCAAUUCAGCUAACACUUUAUCUCUAAGGCAAACAAGGAGAUAAGGCAUGGAGGGAAAACGAAUUUAAAAGAAGAUAGGUUUGUUUUAGCAAUUUGAAUUUGAAUUUGGAUUUGAAAGAAGAUAGAUUUGAAUUUGAAUUCAAGGGUAUAUGGCACACGUUUUCAAACUUGGAGAUAAAGAGAAGAUUAUAUGAAGAUUAAAGAGAGAUUAAUCAAUCUCCCAAAGAUGCACACGGCUAGAAACAAGGAAAGAAGAUAGGAAGCUCAAUCUUUUAAGGUGCACAAGGC